rnacentral:misc_RNA from 1 species
GAUGAAGAACGCAGCGAAGUGCGAUAAGUAAUGUGAAUUGCAGAAUUCCGUGAAUCAUCGAAUCUUUGAACGCAAAUUGCACUCUCUUCGGAGAGUAUGCCUGUUUGAGGGUCAGUAUUAAUAAAAAUCGGCGUGUUGCUCUUUUGUAACGUUCCGGAGUUUGAGUUAUCUUAACUUUCUGGGUUUUAAGAGGCUUAAAAUUGACCUUUUUUGUGCAUUUUAGACGUACAUAAAUUUUCUUUUAUUCGUCUAUCCUAAUGCCAAAAUUUUAUUAGGUGCGACCAUAUCAUGUGGUUCCGUAUCUAUAAAUUUUUCAUGAUUUGACCUCAAAUCAGGUAGGAACACCCGCUGAACUUAAGCAUAUCAAUAAGCGGAGGA